UCAUGGUUCAGGGGUGGAAAUGGUGGCGAGUGGCGAACGGGUGAGUAAUACAUCGGAACGUGUCCUGUAGUGGGGGAUAGCCCGGCGAAAGCCGGAUUAAUACCGCAUACGCUCUACGGAGGAAAGGGGGGGAUCUUAGGACCUCCCGCUACAGGGGCGGCCGAUGGCAGAUUAGCUAGUUGGUGGGGUAAAGGCCUACCAAGGCGACGAUCUGUAGCUGGUCUGAGAGGACGACCAGCCACACUGGGACUGAGACACGGCCCAGACUCCUACGGGAGGCAGCAGUGGGGAAUUUUGGACAAUGGGGGCAACCCUGAUCCAGCAAUGCCGCGUGUGUGAAGAAGGCCUUCGGGUUGUAAAGCACUUUUGUCCGGAAAGAAAACGCCGUGGUUAAUACCCGUGGCGGAUGACGGUACCGGAAGAAUAAGCACCGGCUAACUACGUGCCAGCAGCCGCGGUAAUACGUAGGGUGCAAGCGUUAAUCGGAAUUACUGGGCGUAAAGCGUGCGCAGGCGGUCCGCUAAGACAGAUGUGAAAUCCCCGGGCUUAACCUGGGAACUGCAUUUGUGACUGGCGGGCUAGAGUAUGGCAGAGGGGGGUAGAAUUCCACGUGUAGCAGUGAAAUGCGUAGAGAUGUGGAGGAAUACCGAUGGCGAAGGCAGCCCCCUGGGCCAAUACUGACGCUCAUGCACGAAAGCGUGGGGAGCAAACAGGAUUAGAUACCCUGGUAGUCCACGCCCUAAACGAUGUCAACUAGUUGUCGGGUCUUCAUUGACUUGGUAACGUAGCUAACGCGUGAAGUUGACCGCCUGGGGAGUACGGUCGCAAGAUUAAAACUCAAAGGAAUUGACGGGGACCCGCACAAGCGGUGGAUGAUGUGGAUUAAUUCGAUGCAACGCGAAAAACCUUACCUACCCUUGACAUGUAUGGAAUCCUGCUGAGAGGUGGGAGUGCCCGAAAGGGAGCCAUAACACAGGUGCUGCAUGGGUUUGUCGGCCAGCUU
rnacentral:rRNA from 1 species